UCUGACAAAAAAAAAAAAAAGUAAAUAAAUAAAAGGUGACAUGGGCUUGAAAAGCCUCGCGGCGAACAGGUUAGAAGCAGAAGAAACCUCUGGUCGGUCCACAGAUCACGUCUACAGAGAUGACAGGACAUGCGAGUCUCCUUCCCUGCCUCCGUGUUGGGGUAAUGUUGUAUUUCCCUUACAUGAGGUUCGACCUAAACACGAAACCGUACAAGUACGUCGGCACAAUGGUGGAUGUAAACCGUAUCAUCGGUGAGAAACUAAAUCGUUGCAUCGAAUAUGUAGUUCCUGGUAAUCCUUCAGGUGGCGUAGAGCUACCCAAUGGCUCGUGGACUGGCGUUGUCGGUCAACUCACUCGGCAAGAGGUGGACUAUGUGGGAGUGCCUUCCGUGGUAAGUGACCGAAGGCUUCGAGCCGUGGACUACAGCGUGGCGGUGGCCAUGGAAAAACAACUGAUUAUGUACCGACGACCAACCUUCGAGGCGGACGUUUCGGGAUUCAUAAAGCCUUACACACUUUACGUAAGACAUUACAGAAUAUGAACACUUAAUAUGGACAGGGAAAAAAUGCAUAACACAAUCCUUAUGCCAACAUUUCUGCAGUAAAUUUUAUUCUCACACAUGAUGUCAGGAUACAGAAGUGCAGGAGACGAGAAAGACACUUUUUCAUUUAAAAGCUAAAUAUAGGAAGAUAAUACGGCGUCAAUCAGUCUGUCAGC